GAUGAACGCUAGCGGCAGGCCUAAUACAUGCAAGUCGAGGGGCAGCACGAGAUUUCGGUCUUGGUGGCGACCGGCGCACGGGUGCGUAACGCGUAUGCAACCUACCUAUUACAUGGGGAUAGCCCGGGGAAACUCGGAUUAAUACCCAAUAGUAUAAUAAUGCCACAUGGUAUAAUUAUUAAAGAUUUAUCGGUAAUAGAUGGGCAUGCGUACCAUUAGAUAGUUGGUGAGGUAAUGGCUCACCAAGUCAACGAUGGUUAGGGGGCCUGAGAGGGUGAUCCCCCACACUGGUACUGAGAUACGGACCAG
rnacentral:rRNA from 1 species